rnacentral:sRNA from 1 species
UUCUUGCCGGUCCUGAACUUUGAUGUAC